rnacentral:misc_RNA from 1 species
GAGUUUUUAUUUGGGGCACUUUCUAUGUAUUUUCUCCUACCCAGCUCGUAUAGAUGAUUCGAAUGGUGCUGAGCUUAAAGCAAUUGGAAAGGCUUUAGAGUUGCUCUUUUAUUCUUCCAGUAUCUUCCAUGGCGUAUCCUCCAUCAUCUUGGAACCUAAUUCAAGAGUUGCCUUGUCAUGGAUACACAAUUUGGAUGCAGCCCCAUGGCAUUUGCCUCAGACCAUAAACUCCGUUUGCUCCAAAUUAUCUAUCUUGCCUAAUAUAUCCUUUUGUCAUGUUCUAAGGGAAGAAAAUGCCAUUGCUGAUUCUUUAUCUAAGCAAGGGUUAAAUAGAUCGGAGGACUUUGUGGCUUUUUUCUAAUCCUACUUCCCUUGUUGCUUGGGAAUCUCUGUUGGUUUUUAUAUGAUUUUCUAAAUGCAGGGUUAUUGGUUUUCUUUUUUGGGAUGUUGCUAUUAUAAUUUGUGUUUACUUUGCCGAUUUUGAUUGAAGCACUCUUAGGUGCUGCUAUUUUGAUUUGGGAGAUAUUGGCUGUGCUUCUUCAUCUUUGCUUCCUUGCUCUUCACGUUGUUGUAGUGAUGUUCUGAGGAAUGUGUGUUUGUUGAUCUUUCUCAUCUAUUUCAGCUCUGCUUUCACUACUUGGUAGUUCAAUGCACAUUAAGGUCGGUUGGUUUUAUUGAAUUGCAGCUUAUUCUGUUUUUGUUAGUUGUCCAAGAAGGAUUGUUGGCCUUACUCUAUACUUUUAGUCUUGGUUCUUUUGUUUUAUUUGUCUUUCUUUGUGAUUUUAGUUCUGUAUCUCUAUGUUAUACUUUCUAUUAUUGCAUCUAGGUUGUUCUUUGGUUGUGUUGGCUAUUUGAAUUUUAUGUCUACACGGUUUUGCUCCAGGUUUUUUCACUUAGCAUUCGC